CCCACUGUAAUAGAAAAAAUAAAAAAAAAAAGAAAUAAUAGGUUUUAUUUCGCUCAUCUCCUCUCUCUCACAAGUCACAACCAAACUGCUCUCAACCAUUCCACCACUCCUGCUGCCACCUUUACUCCUCUCCGGAUCUUAGAAAAUGCUGAGAGAUUUAUAAAACUGUUACAUCAAUUGAAAAAAGAGUCAGAAUAAAUGCAGAAAGAGAAUCCAAAGUGUAUCUUAGAUUUAGAACCUGUACAGAUUUAGGCUGCGACGUUUCUGAUAGAACACAACAAAGGCCUUUUUCAAUUUCUCUUCAACCUCCUUUAGUUCUUCUUGACUGAAGCUACAGUUUUUCUCUGUGGUACCAAGUAAUAGUCUUUCUACCGAUGAUUUUGGACCAUCAGAUGUAUUUUGAAUUUUGACACAUUCAAGAACGUCUGAGGGAGUUCAUCCAUGUUCUUUUAAUGACGGAUCUUCAUUAUUGCUCGAAGAAGCUGGUUUUAUGUUGUUCUCACAAGACAUGUCCACUUCUUUUGUGAAGUCCAGUUGGUCUUUCUCUGCAUUUAGACAUCUAAUGAGCGCAAAACUAAUCUUAUGAAGUAGAAGCUUGGAAUUAGAAUGUCCACAACUGUUUCGCUGCCACUACAAGAAGGAAGGCUUUUAUCAGCAAUAUUUGUGUUGGCAUAUGCUGAAUGUUGUCGCCAAAAAUACUUCUAGAAAUAGAGAGCAAUACCAUGUGUUUCUGAUUCCAAACAAUAAUUUCAAUCUCCAUGUUCCAUUUC